UUCCAGGAAAGCAGACAAAGGCUGCCGGGCCAUAAUCAGAGAAGCCUUGCUUUACGAUGAACAGAGGUGAAAGCAGAGACACAGGGCUGCACAGGAUCCCGAGAGUGAGUGACUGACAGCUGAUGGAUCAGCCCUGGACAAGAGAUUUCCACCAACCUCUUAUGGCCCAGAGACUGUAUUCUCUUAGUAGAAUGGAAAGUUUGGCUUAAGGACUUGACUUACUCAUAGUCCGUGAAACUGAAUUUCCUUUUAGUGAUGUAAUGAACUAUUUGACAAGAUCACGUCAAAAAAUGGCAUCAGUUCUGGGAACCAAGCGCUUCUUGCUCUAAAACACAUCUAAGAAUAAUCCACAGAGAUACUUGAAAUAAGUCUAUUCUUUAAAAAAAAAAAUCUAAUUUGGACAUCACUUCAGUGAGCGUUGUGCCUUUCUUAGUCGAGUGACUUUUGCUGCCGAGAGACACAUGACUGCAGCUCAGGACGACCUCCGCAAGUGUUUAAAAUAGCAAGCCGGAACGAACAGAGCAGAGGAACCUGAGCCAGGCAUGCGCUGAAGGAGUCACUAUAAAUAGGAGAGAGAGAAUGGAGGGAAAAGGUUGAAGGCACGGCCAAAAUGCUUCUAUUUAAUCCAGACCAGCUCCCAGGGCACAGUGAGGAAACGGGCUCUUUCCUUCAUCACUUUAAAAUACUCAUCUUAUGUAUUAGCAUGGCUGCGUGUGAAUGGACGCAUGCGCACAGAGGCUGGACUCUAGAAAUGAAUUCUGGCUUGUUACGGGAUGCUAGGAUCAAGCUCCCAUCCUCAGGACUGAGAAGCAAGCAGUUUUACCCACUGACCCAUCUCUCCAGACCCUUGUUUCUUACAUCAUCUUUAUUUAAGGCCACCAUAGCUCAUUCCUCCUCGAUUCUGGGUGGUUCUAUAAAGUUGAAUUCCCUCCUGAAACAUGCACCGCUAGCAUCCCCACCUUCUUAUGCUCCCCUGGAAGGAGAAAAAUGUCACCGCAGAACCUCUGUUUCCUGGAACAAAAAGUCGCUGUGAGUUUCUGUUCAAGUGAGUUAUCCCUUUUAGGUUCAGAUGUGAGAAGCGAUGUGUCCCAUAGCAGGCUAAGCACUCCGAGCUCAGACAGACGUGUGUUUGGUGCUGAAUGUAGAAAU
rnacentral:lncRNA from 1 species